AUUGAACGCUGGCGGCAGGCCUAACACAUGCAAGUCGAACGGUAACAGGAAGAAGCUUGCUUCUUUGCUGACGAGUGGCGGACGGGUGAGUAAUGUCUGGGAAACUGCCUGAUGUAGGGGGAUAACUACUGGAAACGGUAGCUAAUACCGCAUAACGUCGCAAGACCAAAGAGGGGGACCUUCGGGCCUCUUGCCAUCGGAUGUGCCCAGAUGGGAUUAGCUAGUAGGUGGGGUAACGGCUCACCUAGGCGACGAUCCCUAGCUGGUCUGAGAGGAUGACCAGCCACACUGGAACUGAGACACGGUCCAGACUCCUACGGGAGGCAGCAGUGGGGAAUAUUGCACAAUGGGCGCAAGCCUGAUGCAGCCAUGCCGCGUGUAUGAAGAAGGCCUUCGGGUUGUAAAGUACUUUCAGCGGGGAGGAAGGGAGUAAAGUUAAUACCUUUACUGAUUGACGUUACCCGCAGAAGAAGCACCGGCUAACUCCGUG
rnacentral:rRNA from 1 species